AAGUCGUAACAAUUCCGUAGGCGGAAGGAUCAUUAACACGUAUCCAACGUUAAACCCCCCUGUGAACCUUCAUUGUGCUCCCCAUUCCGUGAGGACGCGGCAAUCCCUGGUAAAUCAUCGCCGAACAGUUUUGAUUCAGGGACCUCUGCAUUGAGUGGGCAGCGCGAGGCAAGUGGCCAGGCAUUCGAAAGAAUGGCGCGCCGACACGGCCGGCGACCGGGUCCAACUGUUAACAAUGGAUAUCUUGGUUCUC
rnacentral:misc_RNA from 1 species